rnacentral:rRNA from 1 species
AUUGAACGCUGGCGGCAGGCCUAACACAUGCAAGUCGAGCGCGCGGCGGACGGGUGAGUAAUGUCUGGGAAACUGCCUGAUGGAGGGGGAUAACUACUGGAAACGGUAGCUACUACCGCGUACCAUCCGAUGGGACACGAUGGGAUUAGCUAGUAGGUGGGGUAACGGCUCACCUAGGCGACGAUCCCUAGCUGGUCUGAGAGGAGGACCAGCCACACGGGAACUGAGACACGGUCCAGACUCCUACGGGAGGCAGCAGUGGGGAAUAUUGCACAAUGGGCGCAAGCCUGAUGCAGCCAUGCCGCGUGUGUGAAGAAGGCCUUCGGGUUGUAAAGCACUUUCAGCGGGGAGGCGUUACCCGCAGAAGAAGCACCGGCUAACUCCGUGCCAGCAGCCGCGGUAAUUC